GCACUAAGAUGGGCUCUGUUUAGGUUACACUUAAAGAUGUGUGUAUCAUCCUUGAAGUCUCAAGCCGUUAGGAAUAAAAUGGCAACUGCUGGUGAAGCAAUUGAGUAUAGAUGCCUUAUCCAUGCCACCAAUGGGAAAAAGACAAUCUCUACUUCGGUAAUGAAAAAGCUUGUAGACAUUGUGCAUUUUUUACAUUUGGAGAUACAUGAAGCAUUUGGCAGUGCUGGUGCUUUCAAGAACUACAAAUAAUUUAUUAUGAACAUGUG